GUUCCUUUAAAUAAAAAUUUCUUGACCCCUGCUAACGCUAGUUCUGGCACUCAUCUGAGGAACAACAUAAUAAUUUAAUGUGCUAUGUCAGGAUUGUAGCUUACAAUUUCAAGGCAUUCCGUCAUGUUCAUCACUUUAAGCAAGCUAGCUGGCCUCUUGCCUUGUUAUCAUACGUAAACAUGCCAUAUAACUUAGUGAAACGAUCAUUUGACCUUUAUUUAUUUUAUUUUUUGCAGCAACCAUGUCUGUGUCCUUAAAGGAGCUCUGUCAGAUGGUCAAUGUGUCAUAUGAUCAGGCAAGGGCCCUAAUAGACCGCGAGACCUCUGAUGGAGAUAGUGUAACGUUGAGAGAGAGGAAGCAACAGUGGUGGAGGAUACAGUGGUGCAUGCUGAUUUAUCUGGUGGUCUGGAGGAAGAGGAGGCCUCACUGCUGGCUCCAGACCAGGUGCAGUUUGACACGGUUUUCCAUGGUGCAGGCGAUGAGGACUCGGAUGCACAGCAUUCAUGCUCAGAUGCUAAGGAAGACGCACCUCCAAGGAAAAGACUGUGAGCUUACAGAUCUUACAGUGAUUAUGUUGUUGUGUUAUAUUUUGUGCUAUUAGGUACAACAACAAUGGAACGAUGGACUUCAAAAUCAACCACUCAGAUGACUGGAAUUCACAUCCACGUCACCAACUCCGAAACUCCACCUCAGACAGCCACCCCACUCUAUUCAGACCGCCUGAAGAUCACAGAGCUGAAAUUCAAACACCUCCAAGACCUGAAGGAAGUCAUCCCAAAGGACUUUCACAGCUUUUAUGACAAUUUACUUCACUAGCUUAAUAUAGGAUGCAGUAUUAAAGGAGAACUGGCAAAAUGAACCUGGGGUUUAAUAACACAUUGAUACCGAGUCGACCGUUCU